rnacentral:rRNA from 1 species
UGGGGAAUAUUGGACAAUGGGCGCAAGCCUGAUCCAGCCAUGCCGCGUGAGUGAUGAAGGCCCUAGGGUUGUAAAGCUCUUUCGCACGCGACGAUAAUGACGGUAGCGUGAGAAGAAGCCCCGGCUAACUUCGUGCCAGCAGCCGCGGUAAUACGAAGGGGGCUAGCGUUGCUCGGAAUCACUGGGCGUAAAGGGCGCGUAGGCGGCCGGCCAAGUCGGGGGUGAAAGCCUGUGGCUCAACCACAGAAUGGCCCUCGAUACUGGACGGCUCGAGACCGGAAGAGGUUGGUGGAAUUGCGAGUGUAGAGGUGAAAUUCGUAGAUAUUCGCAAGAACACCGGUGGCGAAGGCGGCCAACUGGUCCGGAUCUGACGCUGAGGCGCGAAAGCGUGGGGAGCAAACAGG